AUUGAACGCUGGCGGCAGGCCUAACACAUGCAAGUCGAACGAGUGGCGGACGGGUGAGUAGUGUCUGGGAAACUGCCCGAUGGAGGGGGCUAACUCCUGGAAACGGUAGCUACUACCGCAUACCAUCGGAUGUGCCCCGAUGGGAUUAGCUAGUAGGUGGGGUAAAGGCGCACCUAGGCGACGAUCCCUAGCUGGUCUGAGAGGAUGACCGGCAACACUGGAACGGAGACACGGUCCAGACUCCUACGGGAGGCAGCAGGGGGGAAUAUGGCACAAUGGGGGCAAGCCUGAUGCAGCCAUGCCGCGUGUAUGAAGAAGGCCUUCGGGUUGUAAAGGACUUUCAGCGGGGAGGCGUUACCCGCAGAAGAAGCACCGGCUAACUCCGUGCCAGCAGCCGCGGUAAUAC
rnacentral:rRNA from 1 species